rnacentral:rRNA from 1 species
UACGGAAGGCAGCAGUGGGGAAUAUUGCACAAUGGGCGAAAGCCUGAUGCAGCUAUGCCGCGUGUAUGAAGAAGGCCUUAGGGUUGUAAAGUACUUUCAUCGGGGAGGAAAAAACAAAACUAAUAAUUUUAUUUCUUGACGUUACCCGAAAAAGAAGCACCGGCUAACUCCGUGCCAGCAGCCGCGGUAAUACGGAGGGUGCUAGCGUUAAUCAGAAUUACUGGGCGUAAAGAGCACGUAGGUGGUUUUUUUAAGUCAGAUGUGAAAUCCCUGGGCUUAACCUGGAACUGCAUUUUGAAACUGAAAUACUGAGUAUCGUAGAGGGAGGUAGAAUUCUAGGUGUAGCGGUGAAAUGCGUAGAUAUCUGGAGGAAUACCUGUGGCGAAAGCGGCCUCCUAAACGAAUACUGACACUGAGGUGCGAAAGCGUGGGGAGCAAACAGGAUUAGAUACC